UGAUCCAUUCUAAUCCUUACUGGACAGACUGUGGCCUGCUAAGCUUCACUUGCAGACCAGGACAUCCUAGAAGCCUCUCCCAAGUUGAACAAGGCCUUUCUGGGCUCAUGGCAAGGACACUUCUGGACACUA
rnacentral:snoRNA from 1 species